GGUUAAGCGACUAAGCGUACACGGUGGAUGCCCUGGCAGUCAGAGGCGAUGAAGGACGUGCUAAUCUGCGAUAAGCGUCGGUAAGGUGAUAUGAACCGUUAUAACCGGCGAUUUCCGAAUGGGGAAACCCAGUGUGAUUCGUCACACUAUCAUUAACUGAAUCCAUAGGUUAAUGAGGCGAACCGGGGGAACUGAAACAUCUAAGUACCCCGAGGAAAAGAAAUCAACCGAGAUUCCCCCAGUAGCGGCGAGCGAACGGGGAGCAGCCCAGAGCCUGAAUCAGUGUGUGUGUUAGUGGAAGCGUCUGGAAAGGCGUGCGAUACAGGGUGACAGCCCCGUACACAAAAAUGCACAUACUGUGAGCUCGAUGAGUAGGGCGGGACACGUGGUAUCCUGUCUGAAUAUGGGGGGACCAUCCUCCAAGGCUAAAUACUCCUGACUGACCGAUAGUGAACCAGUACCGUGAGGGAAAGGCGAAAAGAACCCCGGCGAGGGGAGUGAAAAAGAACCUGAAACCGUGUACGUACAAGCAGUGGGAGCACGCUUAGGCGUGUGACUGCGUACCUUUUGUAUAAUGGGUCAGCGACUUAUAUUCUGUAGCAAGGUUAACCGAAUAGGGGAGCCGAAGGGAAACCGAGUCUUAACUGGGCGUUAAGUUGCAGGGUAUAGACCCGAAACCCGGUGAUCUAGCCAUGGGCAGGUUGAAGGUUGGGUAACACUAACUGGAGGACCGAACCGACUAAUGUUGAAAAAUUAGCGGAUGACUUGUGGCUGGGGGUGAAAGGCCAAUCAAACCGGGAGAUAGCUGGUUCUCCCCGAAAGCUAUUUAGGUAGCGCCUCGUGAAUUCAUCUCCGGGGGUAGAGCACUGUUUCGGCAAGGGGGUCAUCCCGACUUACCAACCCGAUGCAAACUGCGAAUACCGGAGAAUGUUAUCACGGGAGACACACGGCGGGUGCUAACGUCCGUCGUGAAGAGGGAAACAACCCAGACCGCCAGCUAAGGUCCCAAAGUCAUGGUUAAGUGGGAAACGAUGUGGGAAGGCCCAGACAGCCAGGAUGUUGGCUUAGAAGCAGCCAUCAUUUAAAGAAAGCGUAAUAGCUCACUGGUCGAGUCGGCCUGCGCGGAAGAUGUAACGGGGCUAAACCAUGCACCGAAGCUGCGGCAGCGACGCUUAUGCGUUGUUGGGUAGGGGAGCGUUCUGUAAGCCUGUGAAGGUGUGCUGUGAGGUAUGCUGGAGGUAUCAGAAGUGCGAAUGCUGACAUAAGUAACGAUAAAGCGGGUGAAAAGCCCGCUCGCCGGAAGACCAAGGGUUCCUGUCCAACGUUAAUCGGGGCAGGGUGAGUCGACCCCUAAGGCGAGGCCGAAAGGCGUAGUCGAUGGGAAACAGGUUAAUAUUCCUGUACUUGGUGUUACUGCGAAGGGGGGACGGAGAAGGCUAUGUUGGCCGGGCGA
rnacentral:rRNA from 1 species